rnacentral:rRNA from 1 species
GACGAACGCUGGCGGCGUGCUUAACACAUGCAAGUCGAACGGAAAGGCCCUGCUUUUGUGGGGUGCUCGAGUGGCGAACGGGUGAGUAACACGUGAGUAACCUGCCCUUGACUUUGGGAUGACUUCAGGAAACUGGGGCUAAUACCGGAUAGGAGCUCCUGCUGCAUGGUGGGGGUUGGAAAGUUUCGGCGGUUGGGGAUGGACUCGCGGCUUAUCAGCUUGUUGGUGGGGUAGUGGCCUACCAAGGCUUUGACGGGUAGCCGGCCUGAGAGGGUGACCGGCCACAUUGGGACUGAGAUACGGCCCAGACUCCUACGGGAGGCAGCAGUGGGGAAUAUUGCACAAUGGGCGGAAGCCUGAUGCAGCAACGCCGCGUGCGGGAUGACGGCCUUCGGGUUGUAAACCGCUUUCGCCUGUGACGAAGCGUGAGUGACGGUAAUGGGUAAAGAAGCACCGGCUAACUACGUG